rnacentral:rRNA from 1 species
UACAGAGGUCCCAAGCGUUGUUCGGAUUCACUGGGCGUAAAGGGUGCGUAGGUGGUGAGGUAAGUCGGAUGUGAAAUCUCCGAGCUCAACUCGGAAAUGGCAUUGGAAACUACCUUGCUCGAGGGUUGGAGGGGGGACUGGAAUUCUCGGUGUAGCAGUGAAAUGCGUAGAUAUCGAGAGGAACACCUAUGGCGAAGGCAGCUCGCUGGGACGUUACUGACGCUGAGACGCGAAAGCGUGGGGAGCAAACAGG